rnacentral:rRNA from 1 species
GAUGAACGCUGGCGGCGUGCUUAACACAUGCAAGUCGAACGAUGAACCCGGAGCUUGCUCCGGUGGAUUAGUGGCGAACGGGUGAGUAACACGUGAGUAACCUGCCCUUGACUCUGGGAUAACUGCGGGAAACUGUAGCUAAUACCGGAUACGACCCUCGGCGGCAUCGCCAGGGGGUGGAAAGAAUUUCGGUCAAGGAUGGACUCGCGGCCUAUCAGCUAGUUGGUGAGGUAACGGCUCACCAAGGCGACGACGGGUAGCCGACCUGAGAGGGUGAUCGGCCACACUGGGACUGAGACACGGCCCAGACUCCUACGGGAGGCAGCAGUGGGGAAUUUUGGACAAUGGGGGCAACCCUGAUCCAGCCAUGCCGCGUGAGUGAAGAAGGCCUUCGGGUUGUAAAGCUCUUUCGGCCGGGAAGAAAUCGCACAGGCUAAUACUCUGUGUGGAUGACGGUACCGGCAUAAGAAGCACCGGCUAAC